rnacentral:rRNA from 1 species
CGGACCUGACUGCUAUCGGAUUGAUACUAAGCCAUGCGAGUCAUUGUAGCAAUACAAGGCAUACGGCUCAGUAACGCGUAGUCAACCUAACCUAUGGACGGGAAUAACCUCGGGAAACUGAGAAUAAUGCCCGAUAGAACAUUAUACCUGGAAUGGUUUAUGUUCCAAAUGAUUUAUCGCCGUAGGAUGGGACUGCGGCCUAUCAGUUUGUUGGUGAGGUAAUGGCCCACCAAGACUAUUACAGGUACGGGCUCUGAGAGGAGUAGCCCGGAGAUGGGUACUGAGACACGGACCCAGGCCCUAUGGGGCGCAGCAGGCGAGAAAACUUUGCAAUGUGCGAAAGCGCGACAAGGUUAAUCCGAGUGAUUUCUGCUAAAGAAAUCUUUUGUUAGUCCUAGAAACACUAACGAAUAAGGGGUGGGCAAGUUCUGGUGUCAGCCGCCGCGGUAAAACCAGCACCUCAAGUGGUCAGGAUGAUUAUUGGGCCUAAAGCAUCCGUAGCCGGCUCUGUAAGUUUUCGGUUAAAUCUGUACGCUCAACGUACAGGCCGCCGGGAAUACUGCAAAGCUAGGGAGUGGGAGAAGUAGACGGUACUCGGUAGGAAGUGGUAAAAUGCUUUGAUCUAUCGAUGACCACCUGUGGCGAAGGCGGUCUACUAGAACACGUCCGACGGUGAGGGAUGAAAGCUGGGGAAGCAAACCGGAUUAGAUACCCGGGUAGUCCCAGCUGUAAACUAUGCAAACUCAGUGAUGCAUUGGCUUGUGGCCAAUGCAGUGCUGCAGGGAAGCCGUUAAGUUUGCCGCCUGGGAAGUACGUACGCAAGUAUGAAACUUAAAGGAAUUGGCGGGGGAGCACCAC